rnacentral:rRNA from 1 species
AGUAAUGCGUGACCAGCCUGCCCCAUGCUCCAGAAUAGCUCUUGGAAACGGGUGGUAAUGCUGGAUGCUCCAACUUGACGCAUGUCUUGUUGGGAAAGUGUUUAGUGGCAUGGGAUGGGGUCGCGUCCUAUCAGCUUGUAGGCGGGGUAAUGGCCCACCUAGGCUUCGACGGGUAGCCGGCCUGAGAGGGCGGACGGCCACAUUGGGACUGAGAUACGGCCCAGACUCCUACGGGAGGCAGCAGCU